AGAUAACUAGAAGGCUUAGUAAAGGUUGUUAAGGUGCAUUUGCACAUCCUGCUGUGUCGUUCACAUAUCUACCACCCGUGAGUCAAAGCUUACUCUUCACUUGCCAAGUGAAUGGAGUCUGACAAAUUAUUUUACAGACUACCUUUCUUUGGCCCCGUAGAAAAUCUCUCUCUCUCUCUCUCUCUCUCUCUCUCUCUCUCUCUCUCUCUCUCUCCCCCUUUUCCUCUCUCUAUAAAAAUCAGGCUGGCCCUUCAAAUUCAUCAAACUGAGCACUCUCUUCCUUCCACCAAGGAGAGACCCUGUUUUCGAGGUGGAAGAGGAGGUGUAUUCAUGGACAUGCGCACACGGGUGAGUGUAUUUCCAUGCUAUUCAUGCCAAGUGAGCAGUCUUUUGUUUUCUAACCUUUGCUUCGUUGUCUGUUCGACCUUGAAACUGUUGUUAGGGCUUCAUGAAACCCUAGAUAGUUGAUUCUCUCUCUCUCCCUCUCUCCCCGUCUCUGGGAGAGUAGAGAGAUCGCGAAAGCAUCGCGAUAACAAACAUCUGUUGGAGCAAGAGUGAGCUCUAUAAGCGAAAUCACUUGCUGGGUCAUUUUGGUUUGUCUUGAAAGAGUCAUGCAAUGGUGCAAUCAGAAGUUGUUCCGCUACCAAAAUAAACUUAUACCUAACACACAAAUAGAAAGUACAUAUGUUACGUUAACGUAUACCAGCCUGAUACUCCCUAUAUUUAACAUAUGAAACACAGCGGACAUGCGGAUGCGAUAUGCUCGACUUAGAAAAGAAACCAAAUCGAGAAAAUUAUUAAAUUCUAAAGAACCAAAACAAUUAUAUACAGGUCUCCAGAGUCCUUUUACUUUGUUUGCUUGUGCUAAGGAAAAAUACUAGGGUGUGAUUUUUGUGAACGAGUACAUAGGUAUACCAUUUUAUCUCAACCCAAUUAAGCCUCGAGUUCUGUACAUACCCCGAUCAUCUUCGCUUUAACAAAGCACGAAAUGCUUUGGGGGUUUUUUGGAAUUUGUUCCUUUGAUAAAAAAUUAGAAAAGGUGGUUAGUGAUGAUUCUCUCUCUGGUUUGCAUGCGUAUAAGUGAUACAUCAGCAUGAUUGUCUCUUUAUUACGGUAGCAUCCACGGCAGUUUCUAGGAACUUUCUACCUGAUGCUUUGUGUCAAAGUAUGACACCAAGUGAGAAUUCUUGACCAGAUGGCUCAUGUCGUGAUGAACUGAAUGAGAUUGUUCAACUUGAGUGACAAUUCUUGACUAAUCUGCACUGCGGUUGAACACUUUUUUUGAUUAACUUAAAAGAGUCAAGGGAAUCUUAUUGGAAGGCUUUUCUUUCGAAUUUGAUUCUUUCAAUUUAUAUAGGGUGAAACAUUUGUCUAGACUCAGAAUGUAAAGUGAACAGAGCGAAUAAAUCGCAACGGUAGAUAGUGUUGGAUUUCAUGUGAUCUACCGUCACUGACCACAAAAUCUAUUGGCUGUCAUAUUACUUCGUCCCCAUUUCCUGUCCAUGCAACUGUUCUGCAGUUUGUGUGGAGAUCAGGACAAAAUCCAGGCUAGGUUUGUACUAGACAUCGUUAUCAGAACCUUAAAUUUUAAGAACGUAAUGAAUCUGUACCAUUGAACUCUAUAAAAUAAGCUGGGGCUUUAAGACAAUCUAUGUCCUAGAGACUUGGAGAUUUGACUAAGUAGGACGAAGUGUGACCAUGACCAGAAGGUAAACUAAGGGGCCACAUGCGUGCGGCGGUGGGUGAGAAAAGAGUUCUUCCUUGGGACAGACUAGCCAAUUGAAGUUAGAACAGAAAGGUAGGUGGAGCUGGCGCGAGAACCCACUGCGCCCAUUUUUCUGAUUUUGGAUUUUUUAUCUAUUGGGGUUUUUAUCAAGAUAAUAAGAUUAAAAGAUGAGAAAUUCUUACAUGAAUGCGGUAUAUGUACUAAAAUGAAUGUGGGUUAUAAAAAUGACAGGUCUCUUGUUGAUUCCACAUUAAUUCUAUUAGAUAUGAUGGUCCAGAUUUUAUUUAACACAAUAUACUAAGUUCCUAGAUAAUUUCUCAACUAAAGAUAACUCGUUUUCUUUUUCACACGAGUGAAACUUCUAUUUACCAAUAUGAUAUGGCUGAUAGUUGUACAUAGGCUGAAUGCCGUUGUAAUCGAACACUGUGCACACAAGUCAAUGUAUAGGAAAUACGCACAUAUAUUAAUUAGAUAGACUGUGUGUUAGGUGAACAGCCUAUACGUAUUAGAGGUUGAGUAUCUAUAUUCUAUAUAAGUUUGCGGUUGGUUAAAAAAAGAAAACGCUCAUCUUCAAUUCUAUUGGCGAAGUCAGCACUGAAAAAGAAGCAUUUACCAGUUUAACUGCAUGUUGGUGCUUUGGUAAAUCCACUCCUUGGUCAAAGGGGAAAAAAAGAGAUUAUACUAGAUGCUAACUGGAGAUAAAAUCUAAACCUUAGUAAAGGCUAGCUCACAGAGUUCAGAGGCAUAGUUCGGGGUGGCCGAUCCCUAAUUUACCAUGGAUAAGACUUCCAUUUCAUAGUACCGAAUGCUAAAAGGAAGAGAAAAGACGAGGCACUUCCCUAGUUUUUUUUCUCUUAAGUCCGAAUUUCAAAGCUAAGCGAAUAGGGUUUGAGUGAUUGCAGUAUACCGUGACCGUUAGGUUGUACGUAGAUUGCAUGUGAAGUCCGCAAGGGCGAUGGACCAUUUGACUCACUAGAAGCUGGUGCACCUAAAAAAGUAUUACCAAACCUCGUACUGCCUUAGGAAAGGAAAUUUGCUUGUCUGUUUCCAUGAAUGUCUGAGGAGACUUUUGCUCAUGUAUUCUUGGGAUAAUACUCCUAUGCAAUGUGUCCGUGUGACCGCUUGCAAAGAGUUAACAACUUCCCAUGCGCUUGAAGGGUAGCUUUUACAUGGUUAGACGCUUCUUGUUAGAACUAGGCUGGGGCGUCUUAGGUUAGGGUUUCGCGAAUGGAGAGUUUGAAGGUCGAACAGUCAACGAAUGUGAGGUUAUGAACGGAAGGACCGGUCAUUUGGCAUGCCUUCGCAUGGAAGUCGACACCCCCCCUCCCUCUCUCUCUCUCUCUCUCUUUUGACCUUUCCGUGGUCGUCGUCAGCUGCAUGAUCAACGCACGGUUCGUUCGUUUCAAGACCAGUGGAAAGACGCAGGAGAGAGAGUCAUCACGGAGUCCGCGGUGAAUGAGGUAAUAAACACACUAAAGGGAUCUCUCUCUCUCGGAGAAAACUACUUUGAAUUCGAAGUACGUCAUUUUUCAAGCAUUUGGUACUUGUUUAGAUGGCACGUACUGAUAAAGUCACUGGAACACGGCCUACAUUCGUGUUUUCUUUUUCAAUUUGGAGAAAUGAGAAUUGAGGAGAAAUAUUUUGUUUUCGCCAUGAUCAAAUACAACCUUCCCUUAAUGCA